rnacentral:snRNA from 1 species
GGUCCCAGUUCCGAACCCGUC